UAUACAUGCAAGUCGAGCGCGCCCUUCGGGGUGAGCGGCGGACGGGUGAGUAACGCGUGGGAAUAUGCCCUUCUCUAAGGAAUAGCCUCUGGAAACGGAGAGUAAUACCUUAUACGCCCUUUGGGGGAAAGAUUUAUCGGAGAAGGAUUAGCCCGCGUUAGAUUAGGUAGUUGGUGGGGUAAUGGCCUACCAAGCCUACGAUCUAUAGCUGGUUUGAGAGGAUGAUCAGCCACACUGGGACUGAGACACGGCCCAGACUCCUACGGGAGGCAGCAGUAGGGAAUCUUAGACAAUGGGGGCAACCCUGAUCUAGCCAUGCCGCGUGUGUGAUGAAGGCCCUAGGGUCGUAAAGCACUUUCGCCAGAGAUGAUAAUGACAGUAUCUGGUAAAGAAACCCCGGCUAACUCCGUGCCAGCAGCCGCGGUAAUACGGAGGGGGUUAGCGUUGUUCGGAAUUACUGGGCGUAAAGCGCACGUAGGCGGAUUAGUAAGUUAGAGGUGAAAUCCCAGGGCUCAACCCUGGAACUGCCUUUAAUACUGCUAGUCUUGAGUUCGAGAGAGGUAAGUGGAAUUCCGAGUGUAGAGGCGAAAUUCGUAGAUAUUCGGAGGAACACCAGUGGCGAAGGCGGCUUACUGGCUCGAUACUGACGCUGAGGUGCGAAAGUGUGGGGAGCAAACGGGAUUAGAUACCCUGGUAGUCCACACCGUAAACGAUGAAUGCCAGACGUCAGCAAGUAUACUUGUUGGUGUCACACCUAACGGAUUAAGCAUUCCGCCUGGGGAGUACGGGCGCAAGAUUAAAACUCAAAGGAAUUGA
rnacentral:rRNA from 1 species